rnacentral:rRNA from 1 species
GAUGAACGCUGGCGGCGUGCUUAACACAUGCAAGUCGAACGAAGCACUUUAGUUUAUUUCCUUCGGGACUGAUUAUUUUGUGACUGUGUGGCGGACGGGUGAUUAACGCGAGGGUAACCUGCCUUGUACAGGGGGUUAACAGUUGGAAACGGCUGCUAAUACCGCAUAAGCGCACGGCAUCGCAUGAUGCAGUGUGAAAAAGUCCGGUGGUAUAAGAUGGAGCCGCGUUGGAUUAGCUAGUGGGUGAGGUAACGGCGCACCAAGGCGACGAGGCGUAGCCGAGCUGGGAGGGGGACAGGCCACAUUUGGGAUGAGACCCGGCCAAAACCGCUACGAGAGGCAGCAGUAGGGAAUAUAGCACAAUGGGCGAAAGCCUGAUGAAGCAGCGCCGCGUGAGAGAAGAAUCAUUUCGGUAUGUAAAGCUCUAUCAGAAGGGCAGAUAAUGACGGUACCUGACUAAGAAGCACCGGCUAACUACGUG